rnacentral:rRNA from 1 species
AACUGAAGAGUUUGAUCAUGGCUCAGAUUGAACGCUGGCGGCAGGCUUAACACAUGCAAGUCGAGCGGGGGAAGGUAGCUUGCUACUGGACCUAGCGGCGGACGGGUGAGUAAUGCUUAGGAAUCUGCCUAUUAGUGGG